rnacentral:rRNA from 1 species
AGUGAACGCUGGCGGUAGGCCUAACACAUGCGAGUCGAACGGCAGCACAGUAAGAGCUUGCUCUUACGGGUGGCGAGUGGCGGACGGGUGAGGAAUACAUCGGAAUCUACUUUUUCGUGGGGGAUAACGUAGGGAAACUUACGCUAAUACCGCAUACGACCUACGGGGGAAAGCAGGGGAUCUUCGGACCUUGCGCGAUUGAACGAGCCGAUGUCGGAUUAGCUAGUUGGCGGGGUAAAGGCCCACCAAGGCGACGAUCCGUAGCUGGUCUGAGAGGAUGAUCGGCCACACUGGAACUGAGACACGGUCCAGACUCCUACGGGAGGGAGCAGUGGGGAAUAUUGGACAAUGGGCGCAAGCCUGAUCCAGCCAUACCGCGUGGGUGAAGAAGGCCUUCGGGUUGUAAAGCCCUUUUGUUGGGAAAGAAAAGCAGCAGGUUAAUACCCCGCUGUUCUGACGGUACCCAAAGAAUAAGCACCGGCUAACUUCGUG